GCGGGUGUUGUAUAGAGGCAUUAUGCUACCCUUCCAAGGUAGAGACGCGGGUUCAAUUCCCGCCACCCGCA
rnacentral:tRNA from 1 species